GACGAACGCUGGCGGCGCGCCUAACACAUGCAAGUCGAACGACCGAGCGAGAGCUUGUUUCCUCGAGCGAGUGGCGAACGGGUGAGUAAGGCGUGAGGAACCUGCCCUAAAGAGUGGGACAACAGUUGGAAACGACUGCUAAUACCGCAUAAGCCCCCGGCUCCGGGUGGCACCGAGGGAAAAGGGGCACUACGCCUUGGGAUGGCGGCGCAGUCGAUUAGCAUGUUGGUGGGGGAAUGGCCCACCAAGGCGACGUUAGGUAGACGGGCAGAGAGGUUGAACGGAGACAUCGAGACUGGGACACAGCCCGGAAUCCUACGGGAGGCAGGAGAGGGGGAUAUUGCACAAUGGGGGAAACCCUGAUGGCGCGACGGCGGGUGGAGGAAGAAGGUCUUAGGAUAGUAAACUCCUGUUGUAGGGGAAGAUAAUGACGGUACCCAACGAAGAAGUGACGGCUAACUACGUG
rnacentral:rRNA from 1 species